rnacentral:rRNA from 1 species
UACGGAGGGUGCGAGCGUUGUCCGGAAUCACUGGGCGUAAAGGGCGCGUAGGCGGCGCGGGGAGUCAACGGUGAAAGCUCGGCGCUCAACGCCGAGUCGGCCGUCGAUACUCCCGUGCUCGAGCACUGUAGAGGCAGGUGGAAUUCCGGGUGUAGCGGUGGAAUGCGUAGAGAUCCGGAAGAACACCAGUGGCGAAGGCGGACCCGCUGGGCAGUGGCUGACGCUGAGGCGCGACAGCGUGGGGAGCAAACAGG